CGGGGAGACAAACACUGUCAGGGAAACCCGAAACCCGCCAGGAUCACCGCCACACUCCGCUCUGCAUAAUACAACAAACUGAGGCCAUCUUCCCCGCGGCGGUGCACUCCUGCUCGGCUCUGCGGAAAGCUGUGAGCCGCUUGACGCAGCUGUGGACGGGCUCAGAUGUCUGCAGCGGCCGAGCGCCCUCCUGCCUCCAGCUGAGACCUGUUGAUCAUGACAGCACAGGAGACCGGCCUGUUGAGGAGGCUAACCACGAAAGCUAGCUGAGUGCGUUAGCCUCACUGCUACUGAAUGAGUCUACAUGUACUCAGAGAUCAUGUCACUGGAUGUCCCCUGUGCUGAACUCAGCUGUGGGCCACCCUUCAUGUGCAGAGUGUCAGAUGGGGCUUUAUCUGCUGUCAGCAAAUCAGCACAGAGAGGAAACCCAACCAGCCCGCACCACACAGCACUACAGUAGAUGGAUGAAUGAAGGCCUUAUUGCCACUAGAGGAAUUCGCCGUGCGUGAGACGGCCACAGCAACAAUAUGACCUCUGUAUUUCUGGAUUCUGUCUCGGACGGAAGGAAGAAACGCCCUGAACUGAUGCAAGGAAAAGAAAUGCACUAACUCACUCAUUCGGGUGUGUUCAUUACGCUGUUGAUGAAAUGGGUAGAUUGGCACAGAAGGCCUCAUUUGAAGCAUCUUUAACACAAUCAGUUUGGUUUAUUUAUACUGCUGAUAUUGUUCUGCUACUGGGUAUUGUUCUGGUCCUUUGUUUUUUUUUCAUCUGCGAACAAACCUUCCUUUAUCAGGUGAUAAAGUGUGGAACUGAAUUCUUCCUCAGUUUCACCGCCCUCUGACACCCUGAGGCUGAUACUAAUACAAUCUAGUCAACACUCACAACAGAUUUAAAUAACAGUUUAUACUUCCUCAAAGGUUCAUGACACAACACAGA